rnacentral:lncRNA from 1 species
CAAUUCCAAGUGAACUGUCAGGAAAGAACCUAGACCAGGAAUUCUUACACAAGCCACAGCCUGACUCAUGUCUGUGCUGCUGGCAGUGCCCUGGCCUCCAGCCAUGGGACUGUGGGUGGCACAAUUCUUGUAUUCUGAGAAAAAGGCAGUGUUGGCACACUGCUUGUCCAGGCCAGUGCUUAAGCCAAUGGAGAAGGGAGGAGGUAAGGAAGUUGGAGUCAAAGAGGCAGUCUUGGGGCCCUUGUGAAUUGAUGAAUAUGAAGACACUAAGAAAGCAGAAAUAGAACUGAGAAGAAUGAAAUAACUGUCUCUACCUUUCUCGAAUUGUCUAAUAUGGAAAGAAUGAAAGACAGCUAAUAAGCAACUCUCUGCAAGAAGACAUAUGGCUUAGGUUCUGCUGAGCUAUUGAAUCUACUUGGAGAGAGUCAAACACAGAAUCCCUUUGAAUUUAAUGGCCAUUCCAGGUGAUUUGAACAGCCAAAUAAGAAACAGGUCCUCUUCAAUGUACAAUCUGCCAAGUAUGAAGUCUGAAUGACCAUCAUUAUUAUGUAUUUAAUGUGCAUAGAAAAUCUAUCUGCAACCUUCCAGAGUGUACCAGAAGUUUGGAAUGUACAUUAUUAUUGGCUCCAUCUCAAACCACUCAUAAAUCAAAGAAAAUAGCAGUUCCAGAGGAAUCAUCAUAGAGGCUUCUAGGCCCCCAUGCUGUGUGAACCUGGUGAGAAAGGGAAGUCUGCUCUCACUGGACACUGGAACUGUUUGUCUCUGUCUCUGCUGUACUUUCCCUGCCUCUACCUCACUUAGUAAAGAAAUCAUCUUUGCUUGAUAACUAAAACAACCAAUAAGGCUGAGAAAGGGGAAAACCCACAUCUGGAUUUAAAUACAAGGUAUUGGGCCAGCUGCUGGGGAUUAAACUUUGAACAAAACAGAUAGAAUCUAUGUCCUCAUGGGAGUGGCUAAUGGGAGAGUCGGAACAAAAAAAUAGCCAAGGAUAAUCCAGCAAAUGAUUUGGUGAAUGCUAUCAAAGAGAGAAAUACACAUGCUCUGGGAACACCAAGAAUAAACGAGAGAAAGGGACAUUAAUAUAUAUUGAAUAUCUGCUGUGUCAGGCACCUUACAUAUAUUGAUUGCUUCUUCACUUCUUUUAAUCUUUACUACACCACAUGAGGCUGUCAUAGAGAUUCUGAGAACAAAUUGUCUAAUUGAGAAACUGCUGAGCAUUGGAAAUGAGCUUGCCAGGGGAACAGAGGGAUACCUGAAUAGCGAAUGCAAGGCAGUUCAAAACUCAAACUCAGGCCACUGGAUUUGCUGCCCACUGCUCCUUGUAUGAUCGCCCUUGGGCACCACAUCCAUGUAGAGUCUUCUUCUAAGAGGCAAGGAAGGUCAAAGCUGAAACCACACAUCCCAGAUUAUGAUUGAGGUGUUUUUAUAGAACUUGUUUAUUUACAGCGUCUAUACUAAAACUUAUUUUUGGAAGCUGUAGUCAAAUAAUGUUUCUUAAGUGCCUUCACAGGAUAGACCAGCAAUAGAUGCUGUGGAAGAAGUGCAUGAUGUAGCUCCUGACCUCAAGACACUUUUCCACUGGAUACGGAUACAGGGCAUAUCUCCAGGGAGAUCAUUCAGGAUAAUGCCCAGUCAUCAGCAGGCAGUGCCAUAUGAAUGCAUAGCAAGUUAUGCUCCAGGAAGCAGAGGAAGCAGAGCACAUGAGGAAUGGGCUUCUAUGUGUAGCUGGAGUCUCACCUGGGUUUUGAAUUCAUAAAUAGUGUUCAAGGAGGAAGCAGGGAGGGUAUAGCUCUUGAUAGGAAGUGAUGGGAUGGCGAUACGAAUAUAUGUUCCUUGUUUGAAAUACCACAUGAAGGGCAUGUGGCUGUGAAACCAACUUUGCAAAGAUGAUGACAGUGAGAGAAAUCUAGCAUGGCUGACUCCAUCUUGCUUCUAGCCUCGCAGGCUGGCUACCCUCACUCACUCUUGGGCAUAGGCCCAGCUAACCAUGGGAGUCAUUUGAUUUAUAGAUUAACUUUGAAACAAGAAUGAUAAGAGUCUCUCCCUAAAACUGACCCCUUCCUUGUUCAGGAGCUGAAACUGCCUUUGUAAGACUAAUGAAAGGCCACAAGAUUAGGAUUAUGGGAGAGGCCUGGAUUCUGCUAAAAUGUAGGUGUAGUAAAUGAUAAACAGACAUUGAUCUCCAGUUGGCUUUUCUAUAAUCCCUUCCUGCUCCGGGGUCAGGUGGCCAGAGGCACAAGAUUUGUGGCUUCCGCAAAUUCUCCUGUAGGUAACAUCACUAUUGUAGAAUUUGAGAUUGGUCUUUUGAGAUGUUUUUCAGGCUUUUGCAUUCUGGCAACUCACUGACCCCAUGACUCAUGACUCAACCUGUUCUGUGGCCCCCACACAGAGGCUAGUUCAGUGCACAAGAACCAUUUUCCACACCCCUAUGUUGUCAUUCCCAACCAAUCAGCAACACCCACCCCUGAGCUCCCUGCCUGCCCAAUUAUCCAUAAAACUCUAGCCUCUGAGUUCUUGGGAUGGCUGAUUUGAGCAAUUAUUCCCAUCCUUCCAUUCAACUAGCCCUGCCAUUAUUAAACUCUUUCUCUACUGCAAUACAUCUGUCUCAGUGAACUGAUUUUAUCUGUGCAGUGGGCAACAAUUAGCCAUUGGGUGAUUAUAGCUGGAAAAGUGCCUACCUUGUGGCAGUUAAACAUGAGGUUUGGAGGGAGACUACCUACAUCUAACCACCACUGACCACCAUUGUAGUUGAGGUUCUGGUCAACUUAUUAACCCUUUGUGCGCACAUGUGCAUGCGUGCACACACACAGACACACACAGACACAUUUUCUCAUGUGUGAAAUGGGGACCAUAAUGUUGGAUCUCCCAGUGUUGCAGGAAGGACUCAUUGUAACAGAACAUGAAAAUAUUUAAUGUGCUGCCUAAUGUAUAACAGACACUGAAUAAAAUAACCACUGUUUUCAUUAGUAAUGGUCUUAGAUACCUAGCUAAGGCAAAAAUUUACUCGAUUUCCUGUCCCUCAUCUUUCAAACUUACUUGGGUUUGUAACCAUCCUUGCUUCCUUCCCCUCUUUUCAAAGUGUUAUUUCCUUUCAAAGUUAAUCCUUUCACUUGAUUCUCAUUCCAUCACGUAUUGUCUUCCUUC